rnacentral:rRNA from 1 species
GACGAAGGUGGCGAGCGUUGUUCGGAAUUACUGGGCGUAAAGCGCACGUAGGUGGCGACGUAAGUCGGGUGUGAAAGCCCCGGGCUCAACCUGGGAAUUGCAUUCGAGACUGCAUUGCUGGAGUACGGAAGAGGAAGGCGGAAUUCCCGGUGUAGCGGUGAAAUGCGUAGAUAUCGGGAGGAACAUCAGUGGCGAAGGCGGCCUUCUGGUCCAGUACUGACACUCAAGUGCGAAAGCGUGGGGAGCAAACAGG